rfam:Triticum urartu cultivar G1812 contig963614, whole genome shotgun sequence.
GUGUGUGCGGGCGUGGCAUCAUCAAGAUUCACAUCCAUCCCAUCCAGGCAUGAAUCGCUCUGUUUGUUUCCAAAAUGAUGAAACAGCAAUCAGCAUGUAGAUGUGCAUGAGAAUCUUGAUGAUGCUGCAUCCGCACACAA